CUUUUACAGGAACCUGCACCGCCUCCACCUGAAGAUCCUCACAAAGUGCUGCAGCCCAGAACUCCACCUCCAGACUCUCCCAGCAUCCUGCAGCCUCCGCCUGUCACCUAGAGAGCCCUUAGAACAUCAUGAAGACGCAGAGAGAAACUGAGCUGUUUUCAUCAUGAAUGAAAGUGAGAAGAUUAUCUGCAUACUGAUAAUGCAGAGGAGGAACUAUCCAAUUUCCAUAUGAAGACCUAAGUGGAAGAGCAGAGACCAGGGACACAUUCAGUAUGGCCCUGGUGGACUUCACGGACGUCCUGGAAGAGGAUCCCUCCUCUGUUGCUCUUCCUGAAGCUCCUUCCAUUUUUUUCCCUGUUAAAAGGGUUGUUUGGGGGGAGUU